rnacentral:snRNA from 1 species
AUACUUAACUGGCAGGGAAGAUACCAUGAUCACGAAGGUGGUUUUCCCAGGGCGAAGCUUAUCCAUUGCACUCAGGAUGUGCUGACCCCUGUGAUUUCCCCAAAUGUGAGAAACUCAACUGCAUAAUUUGUGGUUAAA